rnacentral:lncRNA from 1 species
CAUGUUUGCUUCCCCUUCUGCCGUUAUUGCAAAUUCCCUGAGACCUCCCCAGCCAUGCAGAACUGUUAGUCAAUUAAGCCUCAUUCCAUUAUAAAUUGCCCAGUUUCAGGCAGUUCUUCACAGCAGCAUGAAAAGGGACUAAUACAAUACUCUUAUAUGAUGAAAGUAGUUGAAACAGCAAGUUCUCUCCUUUCCGAAUAUAUGUCCUGAGACUAAACUUCUUUGAUUUCUCCAUGGAGGGGAUAGGACAUUGGGCCGAUCUCAUUGCUCCCAGCCUAGCAGGCAUCAGAACCUUAGAAGCCAUGAUUUCACUCAGUGAGUCACUGUCACAUUGGCACAUCCUAUUCCCUGUUGAUGGUGCCACCUUUUACACAAAGGCACUCAGCACAUCCUGCACUGGCAAUGAGAUGAGUCUCCCUGGCUGCCCCUUCCUCUAUGCGACCUCACAAUGAUUGCAUUGGAAGGAUUAUGACAGCAACUUCCUGCAGUCCCAUGGUGCCCAACAAAUUGAGGGUGACUCAGUGCCUCAGACAAGGAGGUAAAUGUUUCUUUUCAAUGAUUAUAAUCGUCACUCUUUCCUGUCCCCUCCUCCCCACAGUUGCUGAUACUAUAUUCCAUUAUGUUUAUAAAAAUAUUAAGGGACAUUAGUAUAAGGUGAUUAGGAUAAUAUUUAGUUACUAUUAUAAUAUAUUCUGUUUGAAAUACUAUAACUUAAGAUGUUCCAGACAUUGCACCACAGACUUUAUACAUUGUGGUGGACAAAACAUGGCCAGAAAUUUAUCAACAUUUCUGCAAUUCAGAGGAUACUGAGGCACUGUGAGGUUCACUGAAAGCUGGACUGUGAGGAAGAUUCGGGCCGUCGGACUCCAGACCCCAAGCUCUAACAUACUAUGAGGGCAUCCCAGGAGAAGGCAGAGUCCAGGAGGCGGAUGUUGGGAAGCAAAUCCUGAACUCAUCAAGUCCCAUAGCCCCUUUGUCUAUGGACCUUCUGCCAGCAUCUUCUGUAAGGUUCUAGGUAAGAGAAAGGACUCCCCUUUUCUUGGAGUGCAGAGGCUGGAAGUUAAGAGGUAUAUUCGGCAGAGGCCAGACAGGUGAGUGAAAAUGACAUGUUUAAAGAACUGAAAGAAAGUAACUAUGGCUGAAACAUGACAGGAGAGAGGGGAUGCGGAGAGAAGAGAUUGGAGAGGUAAAUGUAGGUCCCAUAUGCAGGGUCUUCAAAGCAAAGGACACUGAGAACCCAUUGCAAGGUUUUGAGCAGAAGGUGGCAUAAUCAGAUUUGGGUUUUAGAAAGACUACUCUGGCUGCCUUGUGGGGAAGAAAAAAAUGUAUGUAUGGAAUGGGAUAGAGGAGGGGUACUUAAGUUUUAUUAUGUCUGAUGGCACAAUAAUUGAUCCAUCAUCUUGGGUUUAACCCAAGGGUAGUUGGGGAGGUAGGAGAGCAGGAGAAUGUAAUGUCAAAUAUGGCCAUCACUUACUGGCAUUGAGAAAUAUGAGGCAUAGUGCUCAAUAGAUAUUACAUGUGUUUCUUGUGGUGGGCCAACAGUCCCCACCUCCUGCUAUUCACACUCUUAUAUACUCCACUCUUUUUGAGGGUGGACUGGAUCUAGUGACUUCUUUCUAGUGAACAGAAUACAUCAAAAAUAAUGAGAUGUCGCUUCCACACUUGCGUUUAAAAAGACGGUGGCUUCCACCUUCUGGCAUUCUCUCUGUUGCUGUCACUUACUUGGUCUGAUGAAGCUCUCUAUGGAGAGGCCCACAUAGCAAGGAAUUGAGGGCAGCCUCCAGUGAUCAGCCAGAGACUACUGAAGGUUUCAGUCCAACAACCUAUGAGGAACUGAAUCCUGCCAGCAAUCAAUGACUGAGCCAGGAAAUGGAUCCAGCCCCAGUUGAGAGGACUAUGGCUCUAGCUGGCACCUUCCCUGUAGCCUGGGCAAGACCCUGAAACAGGAUUCAGGUAAGCUGUACCUGGCUUCCUGACCCACAGAAACUGAGAGAUCGGAAAUACGUGUUGUUUUAGGAUGCUAAGUUUUAGGGUAAUUUGUUACACAGCAACAUAGAACUAAGGCACUACUAUAUGAUGUCACAGAAGGCAAGAGAGGUACAGUAUUGAGAAGAGAAAGUGACUAGCAUUGUCACAUGUGACAGGGAGAUCAAAGAUAACCCAGGAUGGUAAGGAACGAGAAAGCAUUGAGUCUGGCAAGUAGGCAGGUAGCAUGAUUUGCAAGGAAGCAGUGAGAGUACGCUAGGUGGGCUGGAGUAGAAAAGGCUUGCCUUGGCAGGGAGCACCUGUUUAUUUGUCAAGGAUGUCCUGGCCAGCCUGUCCUCCUAGAGACCCCACAUUAUGCCCCAUGCUUCAGGGAGGGGCUGCAUUUACUCAGGAGUAGACUACUUAGAGAAGCCAAGCUCACAGGACCUCAAGACCACACAGGAAGCAACAGGUGAUAAGGGGAUUUGAAAUUAGGCGAACCAUCUUUCUGUCCCCUUGCUCUUGACCACUGUUUUACUGCCCUCUUUCAGUCUUUAACGAUUUCUUUAAUAACUCUUUCAUUUGUUGGCAUUUAUUGUGUGACAGGCACCGGGGAUUCAAAGGAAAGUAACUUAUAGAUGGCCCCUUCCCUGGGGAAGUUUACCACCCUUUGGGGACAGAUCACCAAAAUCCUCUUCCUUGCUGGCACCCAUUGAGCACUUCCUGUGAACCAGGCUCCGUGCUAAGCCCUGUACCUGGGAUAUCUUAUUUAAGCCUCAGAACUCUUAUCUCCAGAGUAAUGGUUCACCUAUCUCUUGCCCUGGGAGGCUGACACCUGUAGACUGCAUCUCACGCUCUCCUUGGCCAGCUAGCUUCAAGUUGAGUUCAGCUAGAAAACAACCCUGACAAGGAAAUGAGAAGUUUCUUCAAUCAACCCUUAUUUUUCUUUGCUGUGAGGACCAGGAAGGAACCAAUCUGUUUAAAAACUGUUGCCCGCUGGUGGCUCGUUGCCAGGUCUGAGAUAACACUGGUGGUCCCUCUGAGGGCUGAGGACGCAUUCCCCGGGUACUGCAAUCAGAGCAGACGCAUGUGCAGCUGUGGAUGGAGGGAGCUGACGUGUUCUCUCCGGGAGCAGAGGAGCAAAUGUCACGAGAAAAGCCCUUGAAAAUGGUUCUCAUCCCUUUCUCCAUCGCAGACAACCCAGAAUAAACUGUUCUGAAAUGUUGACGUUUAAUAAUAUUAAUAUUAGUAAUGGCUGGAAAGGGCUUCUGGUAAUGAGAUUCCAGGAUAAAUAGGUCACUGGGUUUUCAUUGCUUAUCAAUGAAGUUCCCAAAAAGAUCUUUUUUAAGGAAAUAGGCUCAUGUAAACUUUUUUUUUUUUAAAAAAAGGAAGGAAAUACAUUGUCUUUAUAAUAAGG